UGGCGGACGGGUGAGUAAUGCUUAGGAAUCUGCCUAUUAGUGGGGGACAACAUUCCGAAAGGAAUGCUAAUACCGCAUACGCCCUACGGGGGAAAGCAGGGGAUCUUCGGACCUUGCGCUAAUAGAUGAGCCUAAGUCGGAUUAGCUAGUUGGUGGGGUAAAGGCCUACCAAGGCGACGAUCUGUAGCGGGUCUGAGAGGAUGAUCCGCCACACUGGGACUGAGACACGGCCCAGACUCCUACGGGAGGCAGCAGUGGGGAAUAUUGGACAAUGGGCGGAAGCCUGAUCCAGCCAUGCCGCGUGUGUGAAGAAGGCCUUUUGGUUGUAAAGCACUUUAAGCGAGGAGGAGGCUCCUUUAGUUAAUACCUAAAGUGAGUGGACGUUACUCGCAGAAUAAGCCCCGGCUAACUCUGUGCCAGCAGCCGCGGUAAUACAGAGGGUGCGAGCGUUAAUCGGAUUUACUGGGCGUAAAGCGUGCGUAGGCGGCUUUUUAAGUCGGAUGUGAAAUCCCUGAGCUUAACUUAGGAAUUGCAUUCGAUACUGGAAAGCUAGAGUAUGGGAGAGGAUGGUAGAAUUCCAGGUGUAGCGGUGAAAUGCGUAGAGAUCUGGAGGNAAUCCCGAUGGCGAAGGCAGCCAUCUGGCCUAAUACUGACGCUGAGGUCCGAAAGCAUGGGGAGCAAACAGGAUUAGAUACCCUGGUAGUCCAUGCCGUAAACGAUGUCUACUAGCCGUUGGGGCCUUUGAGGCUUUAGUGGCGCAGCUAACGCGAUAAGUAGACCGCCUGGGGAGUACGNGUCGCAAGACUAAAACUCAAAUGAAUUGACGGGGGCCCGCACAAGCGGUGGAGCAUGUGGUUUAAUUCGAUGCAACGCGAAGAACCUUACCUGGCCUUGACAUACUAAGAACUUUCCAGAGAUGGAUUGGUGCCUUCGGGAACUUAGAUACAGGUGCUGCAUGGCUGUCGUCAGCUCGUGUCGUGAGAUGUUGGGUUAAGUCCCGCAACGAGCGCAACCCUUUUCCUUAUUUGCCAUCGGGUAAUGCCGGGAACUUUAAGGAUACUGCCAGUGACAAACUGGAGGAAGGCGGGGACGACGUCAAGUCAUCAUGGCCCUUACGGCCAGGGCUACACACGUGCUACAAUGGUCGGUACAAAGGGUUGCUACCUCGCGAGAGGAUGCUAAUCUCAAAAAGCCGAUCGUAGUCCGGAUCGCAGUCUGCAACUCGACUGCGUGAAGUCGGAAUCGCUAGUAAUCGCGGAUCAGAAUGCCGCGGUGAA
rnacentral:rRNA from 1 species